ensembl:lncRNA
AAGUGGUCAUCAGCAAGUGUGGAGCCACAACAAGAUUCUCAGAGGGCGGAGCCAGAGACCAUAUGGUCAGACCAUAGAUAAUAUAGAAGACAGCACGCUACCGUAUCUACUCUAUGUGUAUCUAUGGUCGGCACGUCUGGUAGCAUCUUUGGCUGCUGUUGAUCUUGUUUUUGGAGUAAAACACGGUGGAAGCUGAAUUAGUGAGGAUGACUCCUGCUCCUGUCAUCUCUAAGCUCCUCACACAUCUUUACCUGCACAUGAGGAAAAUCACUCCUGUAGAAUGCAGAUGUUCAGAGGGAGAUGAUGCCACAUCUGGUCCAGCUGAUGGAAGGUCUUGAAGUUCUCUGACUGGCCUGGACUGAAGAUGGUCGUCUCACUGGAUUUAAGAUGCACAAUGAGGGACGUCUGCAGAGACUGAGAAAGAGUCUCACCACAUCCUGACAUGAGGAAAAAGACUUUAUUGAAGACUACAAUGAGAAAAACUAUCAGACAGCAGACGGCUGCAUUCAAGUCUGUAGCUGCUGAAUUCAUGGAUGAAUCAUCUGGCACUAGAGAAGAAGACCAUCAAACAUCUACGUCAGCUGAUGGAGGUCCAAGAGUCUCACCAAACAACCAACCUACAGAGUGAAGACCUCUAACCUGAUUGGACGGCCUCCUAUUCAGCCACAUGUGUGAACAAAUGCCUCUAAGCUGAUUUGUUUUCUAAAAUAAAUCUAGUUUGAGUCCUAAUCUAUGCCUGUGUUUGCUUCUUUACACCGCUGUUAACAGUUUAGGCUGUUAGAUUGUUCCAGAUAAGACAAGUACAAGAUUCUUCAGAGCC